rnacentral:lncRNA from 12 species
UUGUUAAUUUUAUCUACAUUUUUUAUGCCUUUGUUUUUGUCAUCAGAUAUAUUCUCCUUUCAUUUUGGCCGCAGGACCAAGUGCAGAGUGGACUCCUUCUGGAUGUUGUAGUCGGACAGGGUGCACCCAUCUUCUAGCUGUUUGCCGGCAAAGAUCAACCUCUGCUGGUCAGGGGGGAUGCCCUCUUUUUCUUGGAUCUUCCCUUUGACAUUCUCGAUGGUGUCACUGGGCUCCACCUCCAGGAGGCUCUGGUCCUACCCCAACGUGGUAUUUACUGAUAUGUUGGUAUUAUAUUUACUAGCAUGAUUGUACACUGAUCAUCAAAUAAAAAAAAAUUAACAGUGUUCUCUCUUGUUGCC